rnacentral:rRNA from 1 species
GAUGAACGCUGGCGGCGUGCCUAAUACAUGCAAGUCGAGCGAACAGAUAAGGAGCUUGCUCCUUUGAAGUUAGCGGCGGACGGGUGAGUAACACGUGUUUAACCUACCUAUAAGACUGGGAUAACUUCGUGAAACCGGUGCUAAUACCGGAUAACAUUUAGAACCGCAUGGUUCUUAUGUGUUAUUUGUUUUUUCUAUCUCUUAUAGAUGGACCCUCGCCGUAUUAGCUAGUUGGUAAGGUAACGGCUUACCAAGGCGACGAUACGUAGCCGACCUGAGAGGGUGAUCGGCCACACUGGAACUGAGACACGGUACAGACAACUAAGGGAGGCAGCAGAAGGGAAUAUUACGCAAUGGGCGAAAGCAUGACGGAGCAAAGCCGCGUGAGUGAUGAAGGGUUUCGGAUCGUAAAAAUCUGUUAUUAGGGAAGAAAAAAUGUGUAAGUAACAGUGAACAGAAUGACGGUAACUAAAAAGAAAGCAACGGCUAACUACGUG